rnacentral:rRNA from 1 species
AAAUUGAAGAGUUUGAUCAUGGCUCAGAUUGAACGCUGGCGGCAGGCCUAACACAUGCAAGUCGAACGGUAACAGGAAGCAGCUUGCUGCUUUGCUGACGAGUGGCGGACGGGUGAGUAAUGUCUGGGAAACUGCCUGAUGGAGGGGGAUAACUACUGGAAACGGUGGCUAAUACCGCAUAACGUCGCAAGACCAAAGAGGGGGACCUUCGGGCCUCUUGCCAUCAGAUGUGCCCAGAUGGGAUUAGCUUGUUGGUGAGGUAACGGCUCACCAAGGCGACGAUCCCUAGCUGGUCUGAGAGGAUGACCAGCCACACUGGAACUGAGACACGGUCCAGACUCCUACGGGAGGCAGCAGUGGGGAAUAUUGCACAAUGGGCGCAAGCCUGAUGCAGCCAUGCCGCGUGUAUGAAGAAGGCCUUCGGGUUGUAAAGUACUUUCAGCGGGGAGGAAGGUGUUGUGGUUAAUAACCRCAGCAAUUGACGUUACCCGCAGAAGAA